rnacentral:rRNA from 1 species
GACGAACCGAGCGAACGUUGUUCGGAAUCACUGGGCUUAAAGGGCGCGUAGGCGGGUGAUCACGUCCGGGGUGAAAUCCUCCAGCUCCACUGGAGAACUGCCUCGGAUACUGGUUGCCACGAGGAAGGUAGGGGUGUGUGGAACGUUCAGUGGAGCGGUGAAAUGCAUUGAUAUUGAACGGAACUCCGGUGGCGAAGGCGACACACUGGACCUUUUCUGACGCUGAGGCGCGAAAGCUAGGGGAGCAAACGGG